rnacentral:rRNA from 1 species
GAUGAACGCUGGCGGCGUGCCUAAUACAUGCAAGUCGAGCGAACAGAUGAGGAGCUUGCUCCUCUGACGUUAGCGGCGGACGGGUGAGUAACACGUGGAUAACCUACCUAUAAGACUGGGAUAACUUCGGGAAACCGGAGCUAAUACCGGAUAAUAUAUUCAACCGCAUGGUUCAAUAGUGAAUGACGGUUUUGCUGUCACUUAUAGAUGGAUCCGCGCCGCAUUAGCUAGUUGGUAAGGUAACGGCUUACCAAGGCAACGAUGCGUAGCCGACCUGAGAGGGUGAUCGGCCACACUGGAACUGAGACACGGUCCAGACUCCUACGGGAGGCAGCAGUAGGGAAUCUUCGGCAAUGGGCGAAAGCCUGACGGAGCAACGCCGCGUGAGUGAUGAAGGUCUUCGGAUCGUAAAACUCUGUUAUUAGGGAAGAAAAAAUGUGUAAGUAACUAUGCACGUCUUGACGGUACCUAAUCAGAAAGCAACGGCUAACUACGUG